AUCCGAGACCUUGCAGAACCUGAC
rnacentral:miRNA from 1 species